GGCACCGGAUAUUGAAAGCCUUGAGCAGAGCAUGCAUGACAUGAGCAUCGUUGAAGAGGAGUUGAAUGAAAAUGACUUCAAUGACCCCAUGAACAGUGUGAUUGAUUGGGCAGAAGAGGGGCCCUCAUUUCAUGGUGACCGGGACGACAGCUCUGAUGUGGAAUAUCUUAAGUCAUAAUCUAUUACUACUCUUUACUUUGUUUCUGUG